AUCUAUUCUCUAUUUAAUAUUAAUUCAAUUUCAUGAGAAUUUGAAUGUUUUCAUACAUCAUAAUAAUCAUUAAACCACUUUAAGCGAACUAUAGGCAAAGAGUAAUCAAAUCACUAGGAAAUUAAAUGCAAUUAAAUAUAAUUAAAUACAAUGAUCUGUUUUAAAUAAAUUCAUCAACAGCAUAUAAAAUAAAAGGAUAUUUACAGCGAGGGUUAAUUUUCUCAUCUACUUUCAUGUCGGACAAGAUAUAAAACUUAAAGUAGGUUGCUUUUGCAAUUCCAUCAGUUCAGCUUCAGGGACUGUUUGUCCUCGGUCACAAAAUUUAUUCGCGUGAAAGACAAUGCCCUCGAAUCAUGAUGCAUUUCUCGCAUGAGAAUAAACGAUCUCUUCGGUUGCACUGCAACGAAUCAGCGUUAAAUCGAGGGAAGCGUUUGAUCUAGAAAGACUGGUAAUAUGCGUGGAUCGUUCGAGUCUCCCAAGAAGGUAGACGAAGUUGCACGCAUGGGAAUGAAGGCUACUUUUCCACUGUCUCGAGGUUACCGUACCAUUUUACGGUUCACAUGAACCCGUCGAUCGGUUUUUUGUUUGAAACUGGUUUCCUCGUCAUUUGCUAUACUUAAACGUAAUAAAGGAUCAAACGGUACGAACUCAUUACCAAAGAAUCUUGUUCCAAUUUUUUUUCCGAGAACCAAUUUUGGAGUUAAAAAUAUUACUCAGUGGUGAUUGAAGAAAAACGAGUCUGAAAAUUUAUAUACUGAAUUUACAAUUUUGUGAAUUUCUUAAAUUCAAUAAAAAUUCAUUUACAGUAUUAUUGCAAAAAUCUCACUUCAGGUAUCUUAUUGUUGAUAAACAUUUUGUCCUUGUAUUGUGAUUACUAUUGUUUCAUUAUUUAACAAAAUGCAUAUAAAUGAACGGUUUUCACUAAUUUUAUCAAUAUAGCAGAAGAUAUCAAUCGUAAUCAUGCAUUUAUAAUCAUAAUAUCGGUGGCGCUCUUGAGAGACUCUCCUUCUAAUAAUCAUUACUCAUAUAUGUAUAAUGUGUAAACGCACAGAAUCUUAUUAAUUCUCUGGAUUAGCAAUUUUAAUGAAAAUUCAUUUUCCCUUUGUGUUUCCCAGUGUUAUGAAUGAGUUCCGCCGCUUUUCCGUCUGAUAAUAAUUAGACGUAUAGCUUUCAAGAUAUGUAUGAUAAGUGAUUUCGGGAAAACCAACAGGAAAAAUAAUAGUAUUUUUCUUCUUUAAAUUCUAAUUUGUUUCAGCUAUUUACAUGGAAACGUUAUUGCAUAGUUGAUUUGAUAGCUCCUCGAAUUUCAUUUCAAUUUACGUAGGUUAUAUUUGCACGGAUAACAAUCCACGUGGGUGUUGUCUAUGUCAUGUAAUGUUUUAAUUACUGGUAAGUUGAUUCAUACCCGUAAACGGCAUCGGAGUAAUUGAAGUCAAGUAGAAGAAUGAAAACGAUUGUAUCUCUUUGAUUCUUUCUUUUUCUUACAUAAGAAAUCUAUGAUUAAUGCUUUGAACUUCGAAAUCUCUGUUAAAUUAAAUAAAGGAUCUAAGGUAAAUGAAAGAGACUCUCUCAAGAACGCUAUUACUGAUAUUACACUCAAGAACGCUAUUGAAUGAUAUUACUGACAACAGGUUUACUCUUUUAUUAAUUCAAAUAUGAAUUGCUCAGUCUUAUUAAGUUAGUAGAAUAUUACCAUCGUUGUAUUUUAUUACUUAAUGUAAUACGGUUUGUUCUUUGUUUUUUUUUUUUUUAAUUUUAUAUCUCUUUGAAGCACGGAACUUUAGUAAAUGAAAAAGCCCAUAUUCUACAGAAAUUUUAUUUUCAUAAAAUUUAACAAAGUAAGUAAAGUAAUUUUAAUUUUACAGGGUAGUAUAAAAAAUAUCCUACUAUAAAUAUUAUGGUAUUAAGAAAGGUGGAAUACUUUUAGUCCUAACGUGUUUCAAAGAGUUAUAUAAAAUGAUUGCAAGGAAGUAAAGUGACCCCUAUAUCUUUUGGUCCACUGUAUUUACAGUCAAAUUGUUUGCAACUGUAAUGGAUAGGCAUAUGCCAUUUUCAGUUAUAUCUUGCCUGUACGUUUGACAUCGUAAAACAAGUGUUACGAGAAUUGUGUAACAACGGUAAAUGAAACUAUAUUAGAACCGCAAUUGCGUGUUUAAUGAAAUGAAUAUCUUGAGGGAUCACAGAAGUGCCUUGUUUGUAACCAUUUGUCCCUGCCAUUACUUCCUUGUUAUUAAGACAAGCAGAGUGCUCGAGAAAGGUUUGAUUCAUUUUAAACGUUAUAAAUCAAUUUAUAGGCAACUAACUAUGUUCUUAACAAAGAGUAUUAUUAAAAAUUGACUAAUUGUCUAAUUUUUAGUCAAUUUUAAUCUAUUUUGCUGUUUUUAAGAACGUUUGAUGUUGAAAGUAUUGUUAUUUUAGUUUCUAAAACUGUAUUUGUGAAUCAGUCACUCUUAUUUAUGCAUGUACCAUUAUAAUAUAAGAUUACACGAGAAAACGGUGUUUUAGAUGAUACAUUUUAAUUAUCGAACUCCAUGAUUCAUUCGUUGGGGAACUUUGCUCAAUUUGACCCGAACAAAGUUCGAAGAAGGAAAGUUCAACCGGUUCAAUUUACACAGCAGACAGACGAAUAUUAAAUGCAAGUUCACGUUGGCGUUAAGUAUACUGAUAUCAAACGAUUUCGUAACAAAAAUGUUCUUUGUUUAACAUAAUAGCUAGUGAAACAUUUCAUAAAUAUGGUGUAUACGUAUAUGUUAUACUGUGAAGUUUCAACAAAUGAAGCAAUCUUUCUUAUAAACAAAAUAAAAUUUAAUUAUUAGGAUACGAUAAACGUAUUAAUUAUUAUUUAUAAUAAGAUGAUAUUACAAUAUAAUGUUGUAAUAAGAAGAUAUGAAAUGAAAUUUAUAAGUGUGAGUUUAUCGUCAAGUAAUGAUUCUCAAUAUAAUGAAUCCUUUGUUACAUCUUAUCAUCAACUUCAAAGUAUUCCUUAUCACGUUCAGUUGUUUCUUUCCCGGUAUGUAUGAAAGUCUAAUUUUGAUUCGUCGAUGGUUACAUAAACGAUGGAUUUUUUGAGCAAAGUAAUAAAUGAAGGGAAAAUAUGAAACAUGCUGAGUGCUAUACAUAAUAAUUAUUUAAUAGAAAUAUGAUUUACAUACAAAUGCAAUUUUAUACAGAAAUUAAAAAUUGAAAUUUGAAGUAUUGGUAUAUAAACUUUAAAAAUAUAAAAAGGGAUUUAAUUGGUUUAAUAGAUUAGAUAGAAAAUCUUAUUACGAUUUCGAUUCUGAUAUAUCAAAAUUAAUAAUUAAUUGAUUUGGAUAGUACUGGCUUUGAUUUUCGCAUACCGAUUAAAUAUGGAUUUAUACGUUUCUGUGAUAGAAUCACUUCUCUUUGAAGUAGCCUUCACUAAUAUCAAUAUAAUUAUAUAAAUAAAUAUAUAAGUACACUUUUAUUCUUCAUUACAAAUUUAUUUUAGUAAAUUGGUCGAAUUUUUUUAAAAGUUGUUCAAUUACCAUUUCAGUACGUAUCACUAAGCAUGUUUCAAUGUUAUCUACAACCUUCGUUGUAACGAAAACUUUGAUCUUCGUUUAAAAAAUGGAAGAUGACCUUCUUAUUUCGAAAAACACAGAUGAUAAAAGAAAUGACCUUCUUAUAAACCCUUCAACUAAAAAAGUUAUCGAAAUGAUUCCAGUUAUGUGCUUCACCCAAUACAAUCACUUUGGUAUCUCAACAGAAAUAAACAUAUAUUCUGAAAAAAGCCCUCUAACUCUUAACUGCCAAGGUCUAGAAGGUAGACUCUAUUCUGAUACUUUUUUUUAUAACCAGUAUUUCUUAAUAUAAUUUCAAAACGCUACUAAAAAAAGGCUUUCGGGUGAUUAACUAUAACUUCUACAAUUAUGAAUAUUUUUGAAUAAAAAAAUUGAAAAUUAUGUAAAUUUUGUCGAAGGUAUAUAUCUGAACUCUUUUCGAUCCUUUCAAGACUGAAACCAUGAAGUAUCACCGACAAUUCUUGCAAUUCUUUCGUUUUAUCAGUUCCGUUCGGUAUGAAGUCGAGUAAUUAUAACCGGUUUUUUUGAUCAAAACCGCAUCUCGUUUUUGCACGAAGCGGUUGACAUGCAAACACAUGUAAGAAAGUGUAUCGAAGUACAUUUGUGCCCGAUAAGAGGGUGCCCUAUCGACCAAUCGUAUUACUCUUUCCGGCGCACACCCUCUUCUUGAGCAAUAACAUGUCGACGUAUAACGUCGACAACGGUGUUCGUCACUGAGCAAUGACGAUUGCAAAUGAACGGUAAUUGAUCCGGAGUCAACAGUUUAAUUAAGAGUACUGUAGUUUUUUUUCUUUCGACCGUUAUCUCAUUAACGGCUACCAGAGCUAAUCAUUCGUUUUCAAUGCCGAUUCAAGUGAAUUGUAAGUGAAUCUUAAACGAUUGAAGAGUAACGAACUGUUGUGUGUUUUUUUUAAACUUUACAAAGUAAGACAAAUUAGAAUGAAAAGUUAUUUAAUUAGAAAGCUGGGCACCGUGCAUAAUAAUAGAGUAUCCUAUAAUUCCUCAUCCUUUCAUGACUGUACAUUGUACACUUUCCAGGUCGUCCUUUGGUCGGGCUUCCGCUCUACCCUAUACGUGGCUGCAGGGAGAAUGACGAUGAAGCUGGGACAGCCUCGUAUAUAUAGGAAUGUGGCCUCCCGCCACUUGCGUAUGAACGUUUACGCGGGAGAAUUCGAAUUCAUAUUUCUUAAUUAUAUAUUAAAUGUUAUAACAUUUAAUAAUUGAAAAUUGUUAUUUUUUUCUAAAUCACUUUUAAUAUGAAUAUCGUCAAAAUUACUGUUUGAAGAUUUUCUGCUUCCCUAUAAAAGAAGUAUAUGACAGCAAUGUAAUAAUUCUUCGCUGAAAUUGGAAUUCUUGAAUUUUAGUUUCGGUGAUAAGUAUUUAUGAAAAGGUUCACAGAAAACAGUAGACAGUGACUAAACAUCUAAAUUUUUUAAAAUACAAAAAACGCACAUAUUAAUUUUCUUAUUUUUAUUCUGAGUUAGUGUUAUCAAUUUAUAUAGGAAAAAAUCAUAAUACACGUAUUUUGCUGUCGUAAUAUUAUUAAAAUUUUUCUUUAGCUUGCAAAUCGUUCCCUGUUUACACGGCAUCAAAUCGAAUGCGUAGGAGUAAUCUAUUUUAAAAAUAUAAAAAUAAUUAGAAUAAAUAAAUUGUUGUCUGGAGAACCGGUUGUUCUCGCGUGCAAUAUAUUUAACAAACGACAAAAAUUAGCUUUCUAAUUGUACGAGCCACGACUAAAAGUAGAGCGAAUCAAUAAAUACAAAUUUUUCCGAGAUACUAAUCUACAUGUUUCCAAGGAUAGCGCUGUCGCUUUCAUUUUACUCUAUUAAUAUGCUUAUUCUUGUUUCCUGCCAUUCAAACAUGAGUUAACAAAAUUGGCAAUUACAUUAUUGUACUGAUAUAUUAUAUUAGUAUAAUAUAUUUUGUUAUUACUUUUAAGAUAUGCAUUUUUCUAUGUAAUAGCUAUAUUACUAAUAAUUUGUUGAUCAUUUCAAUGCAGAAGUGCGCAGUUCAAUUAAUCUUACGUCUCUGAAGACGUGGACAAGAUGCGUACGAAUAUAUUAAACAUCAGGUUUACGUAAUUCAUUAACUCAUCUUGAUCGCAAAUCAAACAAAGCAUUGGAUUCAUGUAGCCGCCUUUGAUAAUGCACGUGAACGUUUGAGUGACUUAUUAACUACGUGAAUGCAAUUGUCAAUAUGUUACAUGAUAUUAAAUUGCAACAUCCCCAUUAUCAAACGCACGAUGCAGUCGUUCAAAAAAUAUUUGAUAAGACACUAAUCGUAUAAUAGUUACUGUUAAUCUAAAUUCUAUAGGUACUAUAAAGCACAAUUUUAUAAUUAUUUUCAUUGUUACACCAGCUGAUCAAUUAAUAUUUCUAAUGAACAUUGCAACAACUGGUGUUGGAUGUACACUUACUACUAAAUAAAUGAACGAAGGAUGAAAAAUAAAUGAGCAAAUAUAAUCAUUUUUUUGUUUCUACAAAA